UCCAGGGAAAGUCACAAAGCAAUAUGGAGUCAAGCCUAUGAUUUAAAUGGACAGCCAGAAAUUUGGAAGGAACAAGACUUAACAUUUGAUGGGGAAGACUUGUAGAGACGAGGUAGACAAAGAUGAACAAAAUAGAAAUUUGCCAUCUCCAAUGCAAGGCACCAUCACUAAUAAAUAUCUUUGCUGAAAAAUAAAUGCAGAAUGGAAGACAGGAAAAGAAAAUGUGCAGAGUCCCCAAUGGAGGAGUUAGAAAGAGGACUGAAGAAGCUGAAGGGGUUUGCAACCCUAUAGGAAGAACAACAAUAUGAACCAACCAGAUCCCCCAGAACACCCAGGGACUAAGCCAUCAACAAAGAAAUUUCUAUCCUACUGGAUAAUGUAUGUAGGACACACAUGCCGUGUAAGG
rnacentral:lncRNA from 1 species